rnacentral:rRNA from 1 species
CUUUUGAUAAUAAUAUAAGGUUUAACCUGCCCAAUGAGGUUUUAAAUGGCCGCAGUAUUUUGACUGUGCAAAGGUAGCAUAAUCAUUUGUUUUUUAAUUGAAAGCUGGAAUGAAAGGUUGAAUGAGAAAAUNACUGUCUCUAUUUAAUUUUAUUAUAAUUUUAUUUUUAAGUUAAAAAGCUUAAAUGUUUUUUGAAGACGAGAAGACCCUAUAGAGUUUUUAUAAUUAAUAAAUUUAAAAAAAUUUAGAAUUAAUUUUUUUUAAAUACAAAAAUUAUUUAGUUGGGGUNAUUAAAAAAUUUAAUAAACUUUUUUUUUAUUAUUACAUUAANUUAUGAAUAUUUGAUCCUUUUUWAAGAUUAUAAGAGUUAAUUACCYYAGGGAUAACAGCGUAAUUUUUUUUUAGAGUBCAAAUUAAAAGAAAAGAUUNNNNCCNCGAUGUUGGAUUAAAAUUAUAU